UACGUAGGGGCCGAGCGUUGUCCGGAGUUAUUGGGCGUAAAGCGCGCGCAGGCGGCCUCGCGCGCCCGACGUGAAAGCCCCGGCUCAACCGGGGAAGUGGUGCCGAAACGACCCGUCUGGAGGGACGUAGGGGGACCUGGAACUUCCGGUGGAGCGGUGAAAUGCGUUGAGAUCGGAAGGAACGCCCGUGGCGAAAGCGAGGUCCUGGACGUCUACUGACGCUGAGACGCGAAAGCUAGGGGAGCAAACGGG
rnacentral:rRNA from 1 species